rnacentral:rRNA from 1 species
GAUGAACGCUGGCGGCGUGCCUAAUACAUGCAAGUCGAGCGAACGGACGAGAAGCUUGCUUCCCUGAUGUUAGCGGCGGACGGGUGGGUAACACGUGGAUAACCUACCUCUAAGACUGGGAUAACUUCGGGAAACCGUAGCUAAUACCGGAUCAUAUUUUGAACCGCAUGGUUCAAAAGUUAAUGACGGUCUUGCUGUCACUUAUAGCUGGAUCCGCGCUGCAUUAGCUAGUUGGUAAGGUAACGGCUUACCAAGGCAACGAUGCGUAGCCGACCUGAGAGGGUGAUCGGCCACACUGGAACUGAGACACGGUCCAGACUCCUACGGGAGGCAGCAGUAGGGAAUCUUCCGCAAUGGGCGAAAGCCUGACGGAGCAACGCCGCGUGAGUGAUGAAGGCCUUCGGAUCGUAAAACUCUGUUAUUAGGGAAGAACAUAUGUGGAAGUAACUGUGCACAUCUUGACGGUACCUAAUCAGAAAGCCACGGCUAACUACGUG